UACAGAGGGUGCGAGCGUUGUCCGGAAUCACUGGGCGUAAAGGGCGCGUAGGUGGUGGCUUAAGCGUGCGGUGAAAGCUCGGGGCUCAACCCCGAGUCGGCCGUGCGAACUGGGCUCACUGGAGCAUAGUAGAGGCAGGUGGAAUUCCGGGUGUAGCGGUGGAAUGCGUAGAGAUCCGGAGGAACACCAAAGGCGAAGGCGAGUGUCCUGGGAGUACCGUGACGCUCAGGUGCGAAAGCCAGGGGAGCGAACGG
rnacentral:rRNA from 1 species